rnacentral:rRNA from 1 species
CCUACGGGAGGCAGCAGUAGGGAAUAUUGCUCAAUGGGGGAAACCCUGAAGCAGCAACGCCGCGUGGAGGAUGAAGGUUUUCGGAUUGUAAACUCCUUUUGUUAGAGAAGAUAAUGACGGUAUCUAACGAAUAAGCACCGGCCAACUCCGUGCCAGCAGCCGCGGUAAUACGGAGGGUGCAAGCGUUACUCGGAAUCACUGGGCGUAAAGAGCGCGUAGGCGGGAUAGCAAGUCAGAUGUGAAAUCCUAGGGCUUAACCAUAGAACUGCAUUUGAAACUGUUAGUCUGGAGUAUGGGAGAGGUAGGUGGAAUUCUUGGUGUAGGGGUGAAAUCCGUAGAGAUCAGGAGGAACACUCAUUGCGAAGGCGACCUGCUAGAACGUAACUGACGCUGAUGCGCGAAAGCGUGGGGAGCAAACAGGAUUAGAUACCCCAGUAGUC